GCAGUGUUUCUCAGCGGGGGCGUUCAGAGGACAAUGGGGGUGCUGGACGUAAUAUUUUGAAAGGAGGGGCGUUGAGGUUGGUUUAAGACCACUUAUCUAGUUGAGUAGGGAUUCAGCCAGGUCCUCCACAUGCAGUCCAAGUACCGUAAUCGCUAUGACUUGAUGGCUUCAGGCGCAUUAACUUACCUCUGCAGCCCGGAGUGAAGAAACUGGCAGAGAAACACCAGGCGCACUCUCAAGAGCAUGGAGGAGAUACCAGGAGACGAGCCGUUACACGAGGACUGCUGGACAGGGCCGUAGAAGGGUAUCAACCCAGCAGCAGGACCGGUAUCUGCUCCUUAGUGCAAGGAGAAACAGGAGGAGCACUGCCAGAUCCCUACAAAAUGACCUCCAUUGAGCUACUGGUGUUCAUGUUUCUGACCAAACUGUCAGAAACAGGCUACAUGAGAAUUGGUAGGUCCGCAAUUGGUGCACUUUUCUCGUCACAGGUGAGAGCAGGUUCACACUGAGCACGUGACAGAUGUGAAAGAGUCUGGAGACGCCGUGGUGAACAUUAUGCUGCCUACAACAUCUUCCAGCAUGACCAGUU
ensembl:lncRNA